rnacentral:tRNA from 1 species
GAGUGUAUAGUUCAGUGGUAGAGUGUAUGCUUAGCAUGCAUGAGGUCCUGGGUUCAACCCCCAGUACGUCCA